rnacentral:rRNA from 1 species
CACGAAGGGGGCUAGCGUUGCUCGGAAUCACUGGGCGUAAAGGGUGCGUAGGCGGGUCUUUAAGUCAGGGGUGAAAUCCUGGAGCUCAACUCCAGAACUGCCUUUGAUACUGAAGAUCUUGAGUUCGGGAGAGGUGAGUGGAACUGCGAGUGUAGAGGUGAAAUUCGUAGAUAUUCGCAAGAACACCAGUGGCGAAGGCGGCUCACUGGCCCGAUACUGACGCUGAGGCACGAAAGCGUGGGGAGCGAACAGG